rnacentral:rRNA from 1 species
GACGAACGCUGGCGGCGUGCUUAACACAUGCAAGUCGAACGGAAAGGCCCUGCUUUUGUGGGGUGCUCGAGUGGCGAACGGGUGAGUAACACGUGAGUAACCUGCCCUUGACUUUGGGAUAACUUCAGGAAACUGGGGCUAAUACCGGAUAGGAGCUCCUGCUGCAUGGUGGGGGUUGGAACGUUUCGGCGGUUGGGGAUGGACUCGCGGCUUAUCAACUUGUUGGUGGGGUAGUGGCUUACCAAGGCUUUGACGGGUAGCCGGCCUGAGAGGGUGACCGGCCACAUUGGGACUGAGAUACGGCCCAGACUCCUACGGGAGGCAGCAGUGGGGAAUAUUGCACAAUGGGCGGAAGCCUGAUGCAGCAACGCCGCGUGCGGGAUGACGGCCUUCGGGCUGUAAACCGCUUUCGCCUGUGACGAAGCGUGAGUGACGGUAAUGGGUAAAGAAGCACCGGCUAACUACGUG